UCUGCCAUGUGCUAUUUCGGUGAACCUAUUAUUAUUUCAUGAAUCGUUCUUUCUCUGUUCUUUGCUGGAAUGUUCGUGGUUUGGGCGACAAAAACAAGUGUGACAUUGUGAAAAAUUCGAUUUCAGAUUGCAACCCGUCUUUUGUUCUCCUUCAGGAAACUAAACUUCAAAACAUCCCACCUGAAAAAGCAAAAACUAUUCUACCUCCUAACCUCGCUAAUUAUGAUUUUGUGGGUUCUUAUGGCUCUAGAGGGGGCAUGCUUACUGCCUGGAAUGCUGACUUUACAAAAACUUCUUUCAUCUCCAGACACUUCUCGCUGACAAUCUCCUUCACCUCAACCUUCACAGACCUGUCCUUUUCUUUAACCAACAUCUAUGGGCCAGCCGAGCUUGAUCAAAAACAAGACUUCCUUCAUGAGCUUUUAGAAAUAGAUCCCCUAAUCCAGGGCCCUAGACUUCUCAUAGGAGACUUCAACCUUACUAGAUCCCCUUCCGACAAGAACUCCCAAAACUUUUCAACUGGUCUUGCAGCUGCUUUCAACCAAACAAUAAACUCCCUAAGCCUGUUUGAAUUACCACUUCCAGACAGACUAUACACCUGGUCGAACAAAAGAGAAGUUCCAGUCCUGGCAAGGCUAGACCGAGCUUUCUUCAACAAUGCUUGGAACAACACCCUCCCAAACACCUCCCUCUCUUCUUGCACUAGAACCACCUCUGACCAUGUUCCACUUCUUCUCACUGCUUCUACUUCCAUUCCAAAAUCGAAAACUUUCCGCUUUGAGAAUCAUCUUUUGCUGGACCGAGAUUUUCUUCCUUCAGUCAUGCACAGGUGGCCACAACAGCUCAAUAUGAAUGAUCCGGCUGCUUGCCUUGCUGCCAAGCUAAAACAGACAAGAUCUAUCAUCAAAGUUUGGAUGAAAGAACACAGGAAACGUAGUUCUCUCAAUGAAGACUGUAAGUUCACAAUUGAUCUCCUCGACUAUAUUGAAGAACUCAGACCUUUGAAUGAUGGGGAACGCUGCCUAAGAAAUCUUGUACAGGAGAAAUUGUUUCAGGCCAUCCAAAGCAAGGUUGCAUACUGGAAACAAAGGGGAAAGGUCAAGCGGCUAAAGAUUGGAAUUGACAAUUCGGCAUUCUUCAAGGCUCAUGCAUCAAAAAAUUACAGGAAUUCAAGGAUCAGAUCAAUCAAGCACAAUGGGGCAGAAAUUGCAGAUCACAAUGGAAAAGCUCUGCUUCUGCACUCCUUCUUCCAACAUUUUCUAGGGUCCGACUGUCAGCCGUUGUGGGACUUCGAUCUGUCAACACUAUACUCAGAAGAUGAACGAGACUAUAAUCUUUUGGCUUCGCAAGGAUUGCAAUUUUCUACGGAAGAGAUAAUAACAUCAAUUAAAGGCAUGAACUCCAACAGUGCACCGGGACCGGAUGGUUUCGGACCAAGCUUCUACAAUUCAGCUUGGAAUUCUAUAAAGGAGGAUAUUAUCAAGCUGGCUGCGAGUUUCUGCUCAAAUUCAGUCCAACUGGAAAGAAUUAACAGAGCUCACAUUGUUCUAAUUCCAAAACCUGGCAAGGAGAAUACAGUAGAUGGCUAUCGACCAAUCUCCCUCCAAAACUGCUCAGUAAAAAUUCUUUCAAAGGUUUUGGCAAAUAGGCUUCAAAAAGUUCUGACAAGAAUGAUUCAUCUGGACCAGACAGGCUUCCUUAAAGGUAGAUGCAUCUCUGAAAAUUUAAUUUAUGCCACUGAACUGAUACAAGCGUGCCAUGCAAGGAAAUGCAAGACCCUCAUUAUCAAGUUAGAUUUUGCUAAAGCUUUCGAUUCAGUUCUCUGGACGAGCCUGUUCCAAAUCUUGGCUGUCCGGGGGUUUCCAAACAAUUGGAUUUCUUGGAUCAAAAGCCUACUUCAAACAUCAAAGUCGGCAGUGCUUCUUAAUGGAAUUCCAGGAAAAUGGAUUAACUGCAAAAAAGGGCUUCGCCAGGGAGACCCCUUAUCUCCUUAUUUAUUUAUUCUAGUGGCAGAUGUGCUGCAACGACUGCUGGAGAAAAACUUUCAGAUUCGGCACCCUAUCUAUCAGGACAGACCAUGUGCGACCAUUCAGUACGCCGAUGACACGCUGGUGAUAUGCCGAGCAGAGGAGGAUGAUGUUCUUGCUCUUAGAUCGACCUUGCUGCAAUUCUCCAAAGCCACAGGAUUACAAAUCAACUUUGCCAAAAGUACAAUGAUCUCCCUUCAUAUCGACCGUUCAAAGGAAUCGUCAUUGUCGGAAUUGCUACAGUGCAAGCUGGAAUCGCUUCCAAUGUCUUACUUGGGCCUACCUCUAUCCUUGCAUAAACUCACCAACAAUGAUCUACAACCAAUUGUGGUCAAAGUGGAUAGUUUUCUUACAGGCUGGGAGGCAUCUCUACUUUCACAGGCCGAACGCCUAAUCCUAGUUAAUGCAGUGCUAAGCAGUGUUCCAGUUUAUGCAAUGUCCGCGUUCAAACUCCCACCAAAGGUAAUAGAAGCAAUUGAUAAACGGCGACGAGCCUUUUUUUGGACCGGUGAUGACACCUGCUCCGGAGCAAAGUGUUUAGUGGCCUGGGAUGAGGUUUGUACCGCAAAAGAAAAGGGAGGACUAGGAAUCAAAAGUUUAAAGACUCAAAAUGAAGCUCUUCUUCUCAAAAGACUUUUCAACCUUUUCUCAGAUAAUUCCUCCUGGACUAAUUGGAUUUGGAAAGAAUUUGAUGGAAGAUCACUAUUAAAAUCUCUACCGUUAGGUCAACACUGGAGUGUCUUUCAGAAACUGCUGCCAGAGCUUUUCAAGAUAACUACGGUGCACAUUGGGGACGGCUCGAGAACAUCCUUUUGGCAUGAUCGCUGGACUGGCAAUAUGACUCUUGCAGCACAGUUUGAAUCUCUCUUCUCGCAUUCAACUGACGACUUAGCCACUGUUGAGCAAAUUUUAUCCUUCGGAAUUUACGAUAUUCUCACCCCUAGGCUUUCAUCUGCAGCGCAAAACGACCUACAAGAACUGCAAACCAUUCUUCAGAAUUUUUCCUUGACAAAUGAAUCGGAUACUCGGCUCAACAAUCGCCUUGGCAAUUUAACAACCAAGACAAUCUAUGAUUUAAGGUCUCCGCCUGGCUUUCCUUCACCAAAUUGGAAAUUCAUUUGGGACUGCAGAAUGCCAUUAAAGAUCAAGCUCUUUGCUUGGCUUCUAGUCAGAGAUCGACUGUCCACAAAAUUGAAUCUCUUGAAAAAGAAAAUAGUACAGACAGCAACCUGUGACAUAUGCAGCACCACUGAUGAAACAGCAGAUCACCUCAGCUUCAACUGCCCUUUUGCUAUCAGUUUCUGGCAAGCACUUCAUAUCCAACCGAUCAUCAAUGAGACUAAGUACCUGUCCCAACUAAAGGCACCAGCAACUAUCCCAACAAGACAUUUUCAGAGUUUCUUCAUGCUCUGCUUUUGGGUCCUGUGGAACCACAGGCAUGAUGUUGUAUUCCGAGGAAGACCACCUUCAAUUGCUUCAUGCUUGCAACGCGGAAUUUCGGAAUCCUCCCUAUGGGCUGAAACUUUUACACCUGAUGAUAGAUUUGUAAUAGAUGUUUGGAAAGGUGUUUUCUCUUCUAGUCUACAGACUCUUCAUCCGAUGUAAUAAGACAUUUCUUCCUCAAUUAAUGCAAUGACAAUUCAGGUGGGGAACCUCUCCCCCCCGGCACUGAAGAACAGAAAAAAGUUGCACAAGCUUAUUGAUCCAUCAUUAGGUGCUAAGAAACAUGAGCGAGCUCAGAUUAUGCAAUGUCUUAGGGUGGCGAUGUUGUGCGUUCGGGAUCGCGCUGAACAUCGG